UAAAGCCAGGAGGAUCUUUGUCAUUUGAUGUGCAUUUUAGACCCUUUUUUCCCCAAGCUAUCUACACCGCUAAGUUAAUGAUUCAGCUGGAACAGGAAAUCGACUGCAAAUUUUACAUUCCGUUGAUAGGAUGCUUCGGUAAAUCCCAAAUAUAUGUAGAUUAUAAUAUAGUAGACGGCAAUGUAUGCAAUACCGUUCCUAGUCAUGAAAUGAAUGCUACGACUCUAGAGCCAAUACGACACAAUUUGAUUAUAAAUUUUUUAUUAAAAAAUGUGGGAACUCUAAGCGCUCUCGUUAUGAUCGAUGUCACACCUCACAAUCUCUUGACACUAAACCAAACUGGGCAAGUUCACUUAAUUUCACCUCAAAAGUCCGCAAAUUUCAAAAUUUUGCUCAGCGUAACAAAUGAGGAAGAUUGUCAUACUUUAAUAAAAAGCGGAAUCAUUAAAGUAUUUGCCAU